rnacentral:rRNA from 1 species
UUUUAUGGAGAGUUUGAUCCUGGCUCAGGAUGAACGCUGGCGGCGUGCCUAAUACAUGCAAGUCGAGCGAACGGACGAGAAGCUUGCUUCUCUGAUGUUAGCGGCGGACGGGUGAGUAACACGUGGAUAACCUACCUAUAAGACUGGGAUAACUUCGGGAAACCGGAGCUAAUACCGGAUAAUAUUUUGAACCGCAUGGUUCAAAAGUGAAAGACGGUCUUGCUGUCACUUAUAGAUGGAUCCGCGCUGCAUUAGCUAGUUGGUAAGGUAACGGCUUACCAAGGCAACGAUGCAUAGCCGACCUGAGAGGGUGAUCGGCCACACUGGAACUGAGACACGGUCCAGACUCCUACGGGAGGCAGCAGUAGGGAAUCUUCCGCAAUGGGCGAAAGCCUGACGGAGCAACGCCGCGUGAGUGAUGAAGGUCUU